CUGUUGAAUGUUAGAGGAGAGCACUGAUCAGACAUUCACCACACUGACACUGACACUUUGAGGGGUGACGCGAAGGCUGAGUGACAGACUGCGUUUAUGUAUUUUACACAAGAAAGCAAAGUGCACAAGAGCUGCAGGGUCGCACAUCAUGGGAGGGAAGGCAUUCAUCAUCGUGAUCAUGUCAGGGCUGUGUACCCUCCCCUCAUGUUUUCCUCGUCAGUACCACCUUGUUGAAGAGGAAAAGACCU